CCCACGUGAUCUCCACAUCAAUGGAGUGAUGCAUACAUUGCAUUUCUUCCUUCCUUCCAGGGAAAAGUGGAAUAAUACUGGAAAUUAUUAUUAUUAUAUUCACAAGGGCUGAGUCAAAUAGUGAAAAAUAUAUUUAAUUUGAGGAUUGUUGACUCGUAGGCAAUUGGGUAUUUCAUAUUUGAUAAAAUUUCACACUGAAAAGCUCAUACAGUUGAAAAGGGACAAAGACUCUUAAUUGAUUAUUGCUAUAUUUAUUAUUAUUUUAUUAUUAUUAUUGAUUUUUCUUUGCAUAUCCUAGUUCUCUCUGGAUAAUAUUCUGUAUUGUGUGCAAAUUAGCAAGGAAUCAUAUGCUGGUGGUUUGUCUCAGAUCUACUGCCCUCAGUCACAUGAAAUCAUCUCUUCUGUCUGUUGGACUGUUGUUCAACAGCUCUGGUCUCUAGGUGCACCCAUGAGCACUUGUUUGGGGUUUCAGGGAAGUGCUCCUCAAUUUGGGGUUGCUUUUCCUGGGAGGAUUUUGGGUGUGCGAUAGGGCUUCAGGGUUGGAGAUAUUUUCUGGGAUUCUGGAAUUUGAUUGGUCGUUUGGUAGUGGAGUUAGAGACUGAUAAGACCUAUGUGUGAGGCCUAACUGGGGAUGGAUAUAUAGGUUGGGUGCAGUAGGGGUUGAAGUUUCUGAACGGUUGUCCACUUGGGUUUUCUUGAAAACAUUAGCGCUUGUGAGAGGCCAGUCACAUCUUGAUGGCUUAGCUGUUUCCGGCGUUAAUUACUUUUUCCAUCUUUAACUAGGCAAAAUCCUAUAUCUCAAAUUGUUAGGUUUUGGAAUCUUCUAUCAUAAUUUGUGGCUUUUGGGUGCUAUCAUUAAUAUUUUCUGGAUAUUUUUGCCAAAUCUGUGACCCCAACUUGGGCUUCAAGUGCUAUAAUUUCGAUUUUGUGUUGCUGCAUGAGUUUCUUGUAUUGGGUAUAUAUAUAGAUAUUGUCUGGUUGAAUCAAUAACCACUGGGAAUUCAGUUGAUGUGCCAUGUGUUUUAUUGCAGUAAUGAUAGAGAAAUUCUUUUAGAGUAUUGUGGUGUAUGGUUUGAAUUGGCAUCUGAGCUCUCAAAUAUGAGUAGCGACUCGAGGACUGUUGUUUGGUUUAGGAGGGAUCUCAGGGUUGAUGAUAAUCCUGCUUUAGCCACUGCGGCUAAGGAGGGUAGUGUUCUCCCUGUCUUUAUAUGGUGUCCUAAAGAAGAAGGACAAUUCUACCCAGGUCGGGUUUCAAGGUGGUGGCUGAAGCAGUCUCUUAUGCACUUGAAACAGUCAUUGAGAUCUCUUGGGGCUGACCUUCUUGUGAUCAAAGCCGAAUCUACUAUCGAGGCUCUUCUGGAGUGUAUCCAUGCUAUUGGAGCCACAAAACUAGUAUAUAAUCAUCUUUAUGAUCCCAUUUCCCUUGUUCGUGACCACAGCAUCAAACAAAAACUGAUGGAGCUUGGCAUGUCAGUGCAAAGCUACAAUGGAGAUUUAUUGUAUAAGCCAUGGGACAUAUAUGAUGAUAAAGGAAAUGCUUUUACUACUUUUGAGGCUUAUUGGAACAAGUGCUUGAGCAUGCAGAUGGAAUUUGUUUCACUUCUUCCUCCAUGGCGAUUAGUGCCAGCUGCAGGGAAAGUUAACAAUUGUUCGAUUGAGGAAUUGGGUCUUGAAGAUGAGUCAGAAAAAUCUAGCAAUGCUUUACUAGGAAGAGGAUGGUCUCCUGGUUGGAGCAAUGCUGACAAGGCUCUAACUGAAUUUAUUGAGCAGCAUCUGUUUGACUACUCAAAGAAUAGGCUCAAGGUGGAGGGGAAUUCCACAUCUCUCUUGUCUCCAUAUCUUCAUUUUGGAGAAUUAAGUGUGAGGAAAGUUCUACAUUCCGUCCGAAUGAAGCAAUUACUGUGGGUGAAAGAAGGGAACUCUGUCUGGGAAGAGAGUGUGGAUCUUUUUCUCAGGGCAAUUGGCUUAAGAGAAUAUUCACGUUACCUUUGUUUCAACUUCCCAUCCACUCAUGAGAGACCGUUGCUUAGCAACUUGAAACACUUCCCUUGGCAUGCUGACCAUGUCCACUUUAAGGCCUGGAGACAGGGUCGUACUGGUUACCCAUUAGUAGAUGCAGGAAUGAGAGAGCUUUGGGCAACUGGGUGGAUUCAUAAUAGAAUAAGAGUGAUCGUUUCGAGUUUUGCUGUCAAGUUUCUGCUACUUCCAUGGAAAUGGGGGAUGAAAUACUUCUGGGACACACUUUUAGAUGCUGAUUUGGAAAGUGAUAUCCUUGGUUGGCAGUAUAUCUCAGGGAGCUUACCUGAUGGUCACGAGCUUGACCGUUUGGACAGCCCAGAGAUUCAAGGCUCCAAUUAUGAUCCAGACGGUGAAUAUGUGAGACAUUGGCUGCCUGAGCUAGCAAGAGUGCCCACUGAGUGGAUCCAUCAUCCUUGGGAUGCUCCCUUUACUGUGCUUAAAUCUGCAGGGGUAGAGUUGGGACAAAACUAUCCAAAACCUAUAAUUGAGAUAGAUUUGGCUAGAGAGCGUCUAACUGAAGCUAUAUUUAUGAUGUGGGAAAAGGAUGCUGCCACAAAAGUUGCAAACUCAAAUGGGACAAAUGAAGAAGUUGUCGAUAACUCUGAUGGUAUUGAAAACUUAGCCAUUGCAAACGUCAGUGUGAAAGAAAAGACUCCUUGCCCUACCAGUUCAUCCCAUGAUCAGAGGGUGCCCACAUUUCAGAAUUCCAAGAGUGGUUUGUUAAAUAGGAAGAGAGCAAAGUGUAUUGAAGAUGAGAAGCUGUCUCAAAAUAACCUGCACAACUAUGACCAUGGAUGUGGGACUUCAAGAGCAGAUGAAGAUUUGCGCUCUACAGCUGAAUCUUCUUCAGCCAAGAAGCAGGCCACUAGCAGAACUUCGUUCUCUGUUCCACAGUCUUGUUCCUCAUCAUCAAAAGGCAAUCCUUUGCAGGAGUAUGAAUCUCCUGGUCUGAAGCAACCAUGGCCAGAACAGAUUGUCUGGGAAAAAACUUCAAGUAAAGAUGAAUAUCAAAAUCUGCAAAAUCCAUUCAAACUCAAUGACCUCAAUUAUUUGGUGUGGUCUCAACUAGUGCGAACCUUUUUGAAGGGAAAAGGAAAACCGAGUCAUCUAAUUAUACUUGUUCCAAGUGAAGACGAUCCAAAGUUUAUAGCAUGGGAUAAAGAGGAUUCAAUGAUUAUGUCAUGGUUGUGGAAUUCAAUGCAACCAGAGAUUAGUGGGACGUUCAUCUUGUUAAGGACAGCUAGAGAUAUUUGGGAGACUGUUCGACAAUCAUACUCUAAAGUGAGGGAUGCUAUCCACAUCUACGAAAUAAAGACCAAGAUUGGUGCUACCAAGCAAGGACCAAGCCACUGGGAGGACGAUUGGGCAUGCUAAGGAACAGGAGGAUUUGUAUCUACUUGGAUCCAGUUUUGGGAAUGGUGAUUGAACUACGGAAGGUUAGCGUCUGGGCUUCACAAAUCAAGAACUGCAUUGUUUGAUCAAGGCAAAGAACUUUCAGUGCAUGAAUGCAACUGUUUGAUACUGUUAUGAUUUGGUACGACCUACUUAAAUAUGUGCUUCUUGAUAUAUAUGCUUACUGGCUGAUUAUAUACUUCCUUAUUUUCCUUCACGGCUCUCUGAGGAUAGAAUUUGAAAAUUCCAGCAGUUAACAAGAAGCUUGAAGCACCUAACCUCAUUUUUUUAUAUGUAUAUAUAGCUCAUAUAUAUAUUUUUUUCCCUUUUGGGUCAGGACAUUGUAUGUAUGUGUAUAAUGUCUAUAUAUGGAUGCAUUUAUGCAUUCAUUUACAGAAGACCAUACUUCAUGUAGAAUGGAUAAAGCAUCUAUGCCCUGCCUAUCUACUCUUCUAUGGAUUCAUGUAAUUCAGGAAUCAGGAUUCGGUAUUAUAGCUUUGUAAGCGUAGUUAUCAGAUGAUACAUGUUUAAAUUUGUAUUUCCAUGGAUGACAAAAUCCAUGAUCAAUUUUGUU